ensembl:lncRNA
CGGGUCUCUCCUGGGUUACGUCACGUUAGGAGGCAGAGCCGUGAAGUCCUGUGUACCUGAGAGCUCAGAAAAAGAGAGAAGAAAAUGUUUAGAUGGGUGGAGUGGGGAGUGCCGCGCGCCGAGGCUGGCAGUCCCCACGCAGUAUGGCAGGCGGUAAGCUGUGUUCCCAUUACACUCAGGAGACCCUCGGGAUUUCAAAGUUCUGCAGGCAAGUGGUUUCCCGAUAAACCGAAAAACACAACUUCUUCAAGAAUUUCUUUGAGAGUGUAACCCCACACUUGGGAGACUAAAGCAGGAAACAGCAAGUUCAAGGGGAGGCCCUGUCCCGAAAACAGUAACAAUUAAAGCUGAAAAUGUAGCUGGCAUGUGAAAGGCCCAAGACAGGGUGUUAUACAGUAUAUGCUGGUCUUGAAUUCACCAUGUAACUGAGGAUGACCCUAAACUUCUCAUCUUUCUGCGUUUACCUCCUCCGAAGUGCUGGAAUUACAAGCAUGUGCCACCAGGAUCAGUUUAUGCCAGUGCAAUGGAUUAAAUCCAGGACCCUGUGUUUCCUCUACUGAGCUAUACCCACAGCCAUGCAUUUUCAGUCAGGAAAAAAAAACAAAACAAAAACAGAAUUCCAGAAAUGAUGCAGGUGUUUGAGAAUGAUGGCGCCCUCCACUGGCCAACUUCAUGACCCAGUGACCUGAUUUGCUGGGCACUUACAGUCACAAGAGAUCAACCUGGGACAGUGCUCUAAGCUCACUGUCUAAUGCCAAUGAAGAUUACUGGUGUCGUGUCAUGUGGAGGUAGAAGCAGGCUUUAUUAAGAAUUAUUGCAUAAGGUUGGAGUGGUGGCUCAGCAAGAAUUAUACAUAGGAUUAGAGUAGUGGCUCAGAGGUUAAAAACAUUGGCUGCCCUUCCAGAGGUCCUGAGUUCAAUUCUCAGAAAUCACAUGGUGGCUCAGAACCAUCUAUAAUGAGAUCUGAUGCCCUCUUCUGGUGUAUCUGAAGACAGCUACAGUGUACAAACAUAAAUUAAAAUAAAUAAAUCUUUAAAGAUGAGCAUUUGCUUGCAUGGUAACGUUCACGUACAAAUAAAUAGGAAUUUAGGGCAUAAGUUAAUGCAUAAGAAAUACAUAAUUGGAGAAAGAAGGCCAUAGUUUCUUGCUACCAGUUAGAAGUUCUUAUAAAAACAAAGAAAGAUACUAUAAUUAGACAAGAAAUUUUUAAAUUUCUAAGUGAUAUGAGAUUUUUUUUUUUUUUUUGUUUGAGACAGGUUCUCACUAUGUAGGCA